CUCGGGGGGUGGGGGCCCCUCAGCCUGGAUUGCGAGAGGGUGCAGGCGAGGCUGAGGGACCCCACCGGUGCACA
rfam:Myotis lucifugus cont2.71012, whole genome shotgun sequence.